rnacentral:rRNA from 1 species
UUAAAGAAAGCGUAAUAGCUCACUAGUCGAGUCGGCCUGCGCGGAAGAUGUAACGGGGCUAAGCAAUAUACCGAAGCUGCGGCAGCACGUUUACGUGCUGGGUAGGGGAGCGUUGUGUAAGUGGACGAAGGUGAGUUGAGAAGCUUGCUGGACAUAUCACAAGUGCGAAUGCUGACAUGAGUAACGAUAAUGGGGGUGAAAAACCCCCACGCCGGAAGACCAAGGUUUCCUGUCCCAUGCUAAUCAGGGCAGGGUAAGUCGACCCCUAAGGCGAGGCAGAGAUGCGUAGUCGAUGGGAAACGGGUUAAUAUUCCCGUACUUAUAAGUACAGUGAUGGAGUGACGGAGAAGGCUAGGCUGGCGUGGCGUUGGUUGUCCACGUGAAAGCAGGUAGACUGGGGGAUUAGGCAAAUCCGGUUCCCCUUAAGGUCGAGAUGCGAGACGAUGCUCUACGGAGCAGAAGCAGUUGAUGCCCGGCUUCCAGGAAAAUCUUCUAAACGUAUGUACUUAUGAAUCGUACCCCAAACCGACACAGGU